ACCAAUAGAAGUAAGUAUGUAAACACUGUAAAGAGGAAUAAUAUUUACUGGUGUUACAUGGAUUAGUAUUAUAUCCAUUCAUACUUUGUAGGUAAAGUCACCAGCUUGCAACCUUCUGUCUGCUGUGCCGACCAUGGUCUCGUGCUGCCAUCUACUGACACUUAAGUGCAACAACAGGCUCAUGUUCACAUCUCUGGUGGUCCUAACCGGGUCCAACAUGCUCAGUGACAUCACACAGGAUCAGAGACCACACACACACACAUACCCACGCACCUAAACCUGUAUGCAAUACCUGCUCCUCUGACAGUCCUUGGUACCUUCAACUGUGUGAAGUCAAUGUAAGAGUCUGCACUAUCCUCGGUGUCUUCAUUGUCUCCCUUCUGAACAUUCAUCCGGGCCUUGAGCAGUGUUCUGGCCGACACUCCGGGGAGUGGUAGCUGCAAAUCUGAGCUAGCCCCUUACAGUCCUCCCAGUCCAAGCUAUCUACCCAACAAUAACACUCAGAAAUUAAAAUAAAAGAGCGUGUGGAGACGAUUCAGCACCUACAACUCAGAAGAAGAUGUCAAUGGAAAAGAAGG